rnacentral:rRNA from 1 species
UUUCUCUGAAUCUGCGAACGGCUCCGCACACCAGUUGUAAACCAUAGCGAGCAAACCUGGGGGAGGCGCUCUUUACUGGGCGACUGCCCCGGGUUGCAUAUGGAUAUCCAUGGUAAUCCUGAGGCUAAUACAAGUACAUAGGACCCUGCCGACCGGGCAACUGGAAGGCAGGGGGUUGUGUGAAGCUUAACCGCGACACUCGACCAUGAAUAGACGCACAAUCAGACCACCACAUCAAGAACGGUUGGGUUCCGCGCCGUCUCCUCUCGGGGGGAAGGCCGGGGCCUGUCCGGGUGGCUCUCGCUUUGUGCUUCUGACCUAUCAACUAGAUGGCAGCGUAAGGGACAUGCCAUGGUGACAACGGGUACAGAGGAUAAGGGUUCGAUCCUGGAGAGUGGGCCUGAGAGAUU